UCCUCAGUGGUCCAGUGGUCAGGAUUUCGGUCUCUCACACCGACGGCCGGGGUUCGAUUCCCCGCUGGGGAA
rnacentral:tRNA from 1 species